UAAGGAAUAUUGGUCAAUGGACGCAAGUCUGAACCAGCCAUGCCGCGUGAAGGAUGAAGGUCCUCUGGAUUGUAAACUUCUUUUAUCUGGGACGAAAACGGGAUUUUUAUCUCAAUUGACGGUACCAGAGGAAUAAGCACCGGCGAACUCCGUGCCAGCAGCCGCGGUAAUACGGAGGGUGCGAGCGUUAUCCGGAUUUACUGGGUUUAAAGGGUGCGUAGGUGGGCUUAUAAGUCAGUGGUGAAAUCUCCGAGCUUAACUUGGAAACUGCCGUUGAUACUAUAGGUCUUGAAUUAUCUGGAGGUAAGCGGAAUAUGUCAUGUAGCGGUGAAAUGCUUAGAUAUGACAUAGAACACCAAUUGCGAAGGCAGCUUACUACAUAUAAAUUGACGCUGAGGCACGAAAGCGUGGGGAUCAAACA
rnacentral:rRNA from 1 species